rnacentral:rRNA from 1 species
GAUGAACGCUGGCGGCGUGCUUAACACAUGCAAGUCGAACGGAAAGGCCCAAGCUUGCUUGGGUACUCGAGUGGCGAACGGGUGAGUAACACGUGGGUGAUCUGCCCUGCACUUCGGGAUAAGCCUGGGAAACUGGGUCUAAUACCGGAUAGGACCACAUUUUGGAUGGUGUGGUGGAAAGUUUUUCGGUGUGGGAUGAGCUCGCGGCCUAUCAGCUUGUUGGUGGGGUAAUGGCCUACCAAGGCGUCGACGGGUAGCCGGCCUGAGAGGGUGUACGGCCAAAUUGGGACUGAGGAACGGCCCAGACUCGUACGGGGGGCAGCGGUGGGGAAUAUUGCACAAUGGGCGCAAGCCUGAUGCAGCGACGCCGCGUGGGGGAUGCCGGCCUUCGGGUUGUAAACUCCUUUCGCUAGGGACGAAGGGCAAGUGACGGUACCGGGAGAAGGAGCCGCGGCUAACUACGU